ACCCGCUGAACUUAAGCAUAUCAGUAAGCGGAGGAAAAGAAACUAACAAGGAUUCCCCUAGUAACGGCGAGCGAAGCGGGAAGAGCUCAAAUUUAAAAUCUGAUAGGCCUCGCCUAUCCGAAUUGUAGUUUAAAGAGGCGUUAUCUGGCUGCUGCUUGGUGCUCAAGUCCCUUGGAAUAGGGCGUCACAGAGGGUGAGAACCCCGUCUGGGCAUUGGGCAGUGGUCUAUAUGAGGCGCUCUCUACGAGUCGGGUUGUUUGGGAAUGCAGCUCAAAAUGGGUGGUAAAUUUCAUCUAAGGCUAAAUACUGGCAAGAGACCGAUAGCGAACAAGUACCGUGAGGGAAAGAUGAAAAGCACCUUGAAAAGGGAGUUAAAUAGUGCGUGAAAUUGUUAAAAGGGAAACGAUUGAGACCAGUAUUGCUGCUGGCCGUUCAGCGGCGUGUUGGUGUAAGCCUGCGCGUUGUGUAUUCGGUCGGCGGCGAGUCAGCGUCAGUUUGGGCUUCCGGAGAGAGGUUGGAGGAAGAUGGGGUUUGCCUUCGGGCUAACCUUUUAUAGACUCUAGCUGGCACGGGAGCCUGGACUGAGGUGUGCGACUGUCGUACUCUCGGUUUGAGACCAGCCCCCAUUGCAACGGACUACACGUAGACCGGUGCUGUAAGGGAAGGAGGUAGGGCCGAGCAGGCAGUUCCAGGAUGCUGACGAAAUGGUCUUAAACGACCCGUCUUGAAACACGG
rnacentral:rRNA from 1 species